rnacentral:lncRNA from 1 species
AUUUUCAUCACGGCCAAUUCUAGCAAGAAAGUUUUUCCAAUUCUAGCAAGAAAGUUUUUCCAUUCAUCUGCAGUAUAUUAUGAAAACUAUCCAUUAAUGGAUGACAUUUAAAAAUUAUACACAAGAAUGCAUAAAGAAUAACUCAGUAAUUAAUAAUGGAUUCUAGAUCAGAGCGCUGACCCCAGAAAUGGGGAUAGUGGGAUGAUUGCUAGUUUUUUAAUCACUGUGACACAUACUGAAAGUAACUACAACAACUCGCAGCUGCACUUAACUAGUUUUAGCAAUAGAGAGCCCAUGAGUUGGGACAGCUUAAUUGGGUAGAGUUUCAGAAACUUGUAAACACGCUAGAGAAAAAAGAAUCUCUAUUAAAGUGUGAUGUGAGCCAUACCUACUCAAAACUGAAUUAAGCAACUUAAAUGCUCUAAGAGCCCAUAAUAAUUGCUAAAAUCAGGCAAAUCCAAUCACUGUUAGCUUGCAAGAUCUCAAUAUUGAGACCCUAAAUGAUCUAACCUCUGUAACCUAUAAUCACAGUGGACUUUUUAUGAGUUUUGAUGAUAACAAAUACUAAGUUUGAAAAACUUUUACAAACAUGACUUUAUUAUUUGAAUAUCAAUGCUUUCUUUAUCAAAAACACAAAUGAAUAUGCAUAUCAAGAUUUUGUUUAUCAAGCUUCUAAUCAAGUGCUUGUCAAAGAAAACAAAAAAUUUUAUGCUGAUGACAAAGAUCAAGUAGAGAUAAAAUAUAAAAUAAUGAAAUGUUGCAACAGUCAUAUGACGAGAACAGUAUAAAGGAGUAGAGCUAAAGGAUACAACUACAAUUUCCAGUUCUUUCCAGUGCUACAAUAGUGUUAAAUAUUCUUUGUGGGUGUCCAAAACCAUUGUAAAUUUUUAUAGCAUGAAGCAAACUGAAAAACCUAAACCUGUUCUCUACUUGAGUGAAAUCUGAUGCAAACAGACUAUAUGCACUUAAUCGGUCAGGGAUGAUCACAGCUUAUUUCCCUCUCUCCUUCUUCAUACUUCUUCAAUUCACCGCCGCUUUUGCAUCUUCUUCCCACCUAAUUCUUGAAAUUUAAUUUAGAAGAAGAGAAGAGAUAUGUAAUUGUGGAGAAAGAAGAAGAAAAAAAAAGAGUACCAGAGAUAUGGAGAGAGAUGGGAACCUCGAGGACGCGAAGGAAGCUUUCCAUAGCAUUGUCUUUGAAGAUGAUGGUGUUUACUUCUCUUCCAGAGCAGUCCUCCACAGUCAUUUCUACACAAUAUCCAUCACAAUAAAAAAGUAAAGAUGAAAAUUACCUGUGAUAUACGGGCAACAGUACGAAAGGCACAAUUAAUUCAGAGAAGCUUCAUCCGGUCGAAAAUAAAAGAUUCCACACGGUCUCUUGUUCUGCGGCAUGGUAACAAGUCGUAUAUGAAAUUGCGGGAAGAGAAAAAGAAGUGAAGAACAGGAAGUAAAGAAGAAUAAGAGAGGGGUUUGUUUCACGAGAAAAGAAAGAAGUGAGAGCUGUUUCAAGCUAAGAAUGGGGGAAUUAAAAGAAAACUUAGGGGCGAAGCAAAUGCAUUUAAAAAAGUAAAAAUGGAAUUAAAUGUGUGUACAACAGUCCAAUCAUUUUAAGUGUUUGCAUUUAUUCAUUCCUGCUUUCAGAAUAAUUUUUUUUUUCCUAUCACACAUUCUUAUAUAUACUUAUUUAUAUAUAUAUCCAAGAAAGAAAUGUGUAAUUUUAAUAUUUAAUAUGAAUGAAAAAUA